rnacentral:piRNA from 1 species
UNUAGAUGCAGAGCCCAAGAAGCACCUAAC